rnacentral:rRNA from 1 species
CGGGAGACCGCCGGGGUCAACUCGGAGGAAGGUGGGGACGACGUCAAGUCAUCAUGCCCCUUAUGUCUUGGGCUGCACACGUGCUACAAUGGCCGGUACAAUGAGCUGCGAUACCGUGAGGUGGAGCGAAUCUCAAAAAGCCGGUCUCAGUUCGGAUUGGGGUCUGCAACUCGACCCCAUGAAGUCGGAGUCGCUAGUAAUCGCAGAUCAGCAUUGCUGCGGUGAAUACGUUCCCGGGCCUUGUACACACCGCCCGUCACGUCACGAAAGUCGGUAACACCCGAAGCCGGUGGCCCAACCCCUUGUGGGAGGGAGCUGUCG